AUAUCACGUGACCUUCUAAAAUAUUGACCCGGCAUGUACAUUAUAAAGGGCCCGUAAACCUGCACUUGGCGUUGUUGGAUACAUCAGCAGGACAAUUUCCACUUAAACAAGAUGCAGCUUCCGGUAUAUUACAUAUCACUUGUAGUUCUGACAAUCGUCCUGUACGAGUCUGGCUGCUUAGCAUCAUCAACGACAGAAACAACAGCAGCAACAACAACAGUUACAGCUACUGGUUCAGGGGGUACCGCUACUACCGAUCCUGUUACCACUUCAAAUGGAACAAACACAGACAAUGGAUGCAGCACCAUUGUUCCCUAUGAAGCUGUCAUUCAUAUUCCCAGUGGCUGUGUACAUCUGUGCCAAGAUGUUCGCUACCUGAUGUCUUUGUAAUGCGAGGUUCCCGGGCCUCUUGAAAUAAAUGACUCACAUUGCGUGACGACAAAAAUCAGAAUGACGGAGGCUGCAGAUUCGUGAGAACGUUUAGGGUUGAUACAUUAUCCUGGUUUAAGUUCUCACAAAACACCUAACCAGGUUUAUUAUUUAAUAAACAAAAUUAAUUUCAAUGUCAAAAUACAAUAUCUACCAUGACACGUCCGUAUCCCCUAGGAUUAUAGUGUGGAGGUAUUUUGAAUGGGCCGAUGUAGGCACAGAGACAUGUGUUACCAGAGAGACACUAGUGUGUGACUAGCAAGGGAGACAAUCCGUGUAUGACGGUAAACAUCAUGACCUACUGUUUUCAAGUAAACAAAAAUAAAUAAUCUUAAACAA